rnacentral:rRNA from 1 species
GAUGAACGCUAGCGGCAGGCUUAAUACAUGCAAGUCGAGGGACAGCACAGGUGGCAAUACUGGGUGGUAACCGGCAAACGGGUGCGGAACACGUACACAACCUUCCUUUAAGUGGGGGAUAGCCCAGAGAAAUUUGGAUUAAUACCCCGUAAUAUAGUUGAAUGGCAUCAUUUGAUUAUUAUAGCUACGGCGCUUAAUGAUGGGUGUGCGGCUGAUUAGAUAGUUGGCGGGGUAACGGCCCACCAAGUCUACGAUCAGUAGCUGAUGUGAGAGCAUGAUCAGCCACACGGGCACUGAGACACGGGCCCGACUCCUACGGGAGGCAGCAGUAAGGAAUAUUGGUCAAUGGACGCAAGUCUGAACCAGCCAUGCCGCGUGAAGGAUUAAGGUCCUCUGGAUUGUAAACUUCUUUUAUUCGGGACGAAAAAGGGCCUUUCUAGGUCAACUGACGGUACCAGAUGAAUAAGCACCGGCUAACUCCGUGCCAGCCGCCGCAGUAAUAC